AUCCACCGCUCUCCUCCUCCUCCUCGCCCGUCUCCGCAGCUCCUGCGUCCUCCCCGGGUGCGGGCUCACACCGCGCUCCCCAUGCCCUGCGCCGGCGAGCGGCAAGCGGCGUUCGGGCUCCGCGUCCCCCGGCGGAUGCACAAGGCUGGUCCUUCGCGCGGCUCGUAGCCGCCACCCUAACCCAUGGCAGUGCGGGACGCCCUAGGUGCGGAGUGGGACUCGGAGAAGGUGGGAGAGUGCGGGGUGGGGGCAGAGGGACCGGACCGAGCCGGGCUCUGGGACCAGCUGGAGGAAGAGAGAGAGAGAGAAGGGCGGCUGGGAGGGACAAGGCAAACCGCCUCCCCUCGCCGCCUCCCGGGCGCACGGCUCCUAUGCCGCUCGGGCAGACUCCGGCCGCCACAGCGGCUGCAGCUCAUUCACUCUUUAUUAGCUCCCCUCCCGGCCCUAGCUCCUUAUCCAGUGAAGUGAGAAGCGGUGGCUGGAGCCUCCAGAAGCUCCCGCGUGGGGUUCUCGGCGCUGUCCCCCCGCGCCUGCGUGGCCAACCCUCCAUCCCCGGAUCGCCCAGCCCCUUUCCCCACCCAGAUCCACCCCCUAAGGUUCCGCCCACGUUACCCCCUAGGCUAGAGGCUCCUCCCACUCUCUCCCCGGGCGGGAGGCUCCGCCUUCCCACCUCCCGCCCUCCCCCUGUUUCGCUCACCUUCGAUUUCAGUCUGGGAAGCCGCGGGGACCCAGGGGCGACGGCUGGAAAACAGCCCAAAGAGGUAGCUGGAGUGCGCCCUGGGCGCGGGAGAAAUGAGACCGGGAGGACGCGGUCGCUAGCUCCGCUGCUGCCUGGCGGCGCCUGGCACCAGCGGGAUCUCAACCCCGGGCGCUGCGUGUGCCAAGCGAUGCCAGGCGACUGGAUGGAAGGCAUCCAACAUGAUGAAAUAUUGUGUAGAAGAAUGGUCUGCGUAGAACGAGGUCUGGGUACUAAAGUUGCAGGACCGAAGAGGACCGUGGGCUGCCUGCCACACCUCUUCUCGACUUGGCCUUUCCGGCUGGAUGAGCGGCUCCCUUGGACCACGAAGUACACUGCUGCAGCGCCCCCUGCUGCUUAGCAGCCGCAAAGCAUAAAAAACUGACCCGGGGAGGCCGUCUUCCCCUCUUCCCCGCCUCUCAAACCUAACCAGCACCUAACCAGCAAGUUCUCCAAAACGGCCUGGAGAAAUUGAUCACCCCCCACCACCCCCAUCCCCAGGAUGUCUAACAGUGGCCUGAAAAUCAAGUACCGUGGUUUGGGUGUCUGCAAAACAAAGCUCCAUCUUUUCCUGAGUUCACGAGGAAAUCGAUGUAGACAUAGAUGAAACCAUGAAUAUUCAUUAUAUUGUGCCAUGCUCUAUGGUUCCAUUUUUGUGCCCUGGGAAAAAAGUAAAUGCACAUAAGAGGGAAUUGUAUCUGUAAAAGUAGGGGCUGAUCUUUACCUUUUUUUUCUUUUUCUUUUUAA